rnacentral:rRNA from 1 species
AAGAGGAUAGCGUCGCUCAUAAUUACUAGGCGUAAAGGGAGCGUAGGCGGACAUUUAAGUCAGGGGUGAAAUCCCGGGGCUCAACCUCAGAAUCGCCUUUGAUAAAGAAUUCUAAAGUAUGAAAGAGGUGUGUGAAACUCCGAAUGUAGAGGUGAAAUUUUUAGAUAUUCGGAAGACCACCAGUGGGGAAGGCGACACACUGGCUCAUUACUGACGCUGAGGCUCGAAAGCGUGGGGAGCAACCAGG